UUCUCUGAGUCGGUGAAAAAA
ensembl:piRNA 21ur-9793 ncRNA